rnacentral:rRNA from 1 species
GUGAGGAACACGUGAAGAAUCUGCCCUCCACUUUGGGAUAACACCGGGAAACCGGUGCUAAUACCGAAUAUUGAAACAUAAGUGGCAUCACUGAGUUUUGAAAGAAUUUCGGUGGAGGAUGACUUCGCGGCCUAUCAGCUAGUUGGUGAGGUAAUGGCUCACCAAGGCAACGACGGGUAGCUGGUCUGAGAGGAUGGACAGCCACAUUGGGACUGAGAUACGGCCCAGACUCC